rnacentral:rRNA from 1 species
GACGAACGCUGGCGGCGUGCUUAACACAUGCAAGUCGAACGGAAAGGCCCUGCUUUUGUGGGGUGCUCGAGUGGCGAACGGGUGAGUAACACGUGAGUAACCUGCCCUUGACUUUGGGAUAACUUCAGGAAACUGGGGCUAAUACCGGAUAGGAGCUCCUGCUGCAUGGUGGGGGUUGGAAAGUUUCGGCGGUUGGGGAUGGACUCGCGGCUUAUCAGCUUGUUGGUGGGGUAGUGGCUUACCAAGGCUUUGACGGGUAGCCGGCCUGAGAGGGUGACCGGCCACAAUGGGACUGAGGUACGGCCCAGAGUCCUACGGGGGGCAGCAGUGGGGAAUAUUGCACAAUGGGCGGAAGCCUGAUGCAGCAACGCCGCGUGCGGGAUGACGGCCUUCGGGUUGUAAACCGCUUUCGCCUGUGACGAAGCGUGAGUGACGGUAAUGGGUAAAGAAGCACCGGCUAACUACGUG